rnacentral:rRNA from 1 species
GACAGAGGGUGCAAACGUUGUUCGGAAUUACUGGGCGUAAAGCGCGUGUAGGCGGCUAUGCAAGUCGGGCGUGAAAUCACACGGCUCAACCGUGGAAGUGCACUCGAAACUGCGUAGCUAGAGUCCCGGAGAGGAAGGUGGAAUACUUGGUGUAGAGGUGAAAUUCGUAGAUAUCAAGUGGAACACCGGUGGCGAAGGCGGCCUUCUGGACGGUGACUGACGCUGAGACGCGAAAGCGUGGGGAGCGAACAGG